rnacentral:rRNA from 1 species
CCUACGGGAGGCAGCAGUGGGGAAUCUUGCGCAAUGGGCGAAAGCCUGACGCAGCCAUGCCGCGUGUAUGAUGAAGGUCUUAGGAUUGUAAAAUACUUUCACCGGUGAAGAUAAUGACUGUAGCCGGAGAAGAAGCCCCGGCUAACUUCGUGCCAGCAGCCGCGGUAAUACGAAGGGGGCUAGCGUUGCUCGGAAUUACUGGGCGUAAAGGGAGCGUAGGCGGACAUUUAAGUCAGGGGUGAAAUCCCAGAGCUCAACUCUGGAACUGCCUUUGAUACUGGGUGUCUUGAGUGUGAUAGAGGUAUGUGGAACUCCGAGUGUAGAGGUGAAAUUCGUAGAUAUUCGGAAGAACACCAGUGGCGAAGGCGACAUACUGGAUCAUUACUGACGCUGAGGCUCGAAAGCGUGGGGAGCAAACAGGAUUAGAUACCCUGGUAGUCCACGCCGUAAACGAUGAUUGCUAGUUGUCGGGAUGUUUACAUCUCGGUGACGCAGCUACGACAUAAGACAUCCGCCGUGGGAGGUACGGUCGCGAAGAAGUUAAACUUACGAAAGAAGUUAGUUAGGCGNGNGACGNGCGACGGACGACGACGAGGGAGGAGG